GUUCCUUUCAAAUAUGGGCUUUCCUUGACAUGGAAGCAAUGCAGAGGAGGACACGAAAGGCCUGGCCAACUUUAGCCAGUCUUUGCUAGCCUGAUGCCCUCCAGAUUGUUUCGGAGUACAACUCCCACCAGCCCCUUCCUGCACAGAUAUCGGGAAAAGUUUUCAGAGAAGGGAAACCAAAAUGAUCCAAGGGGAUGCGGCAACUGCCCUAGGAGGAAAGGGUAGGACAUAAUGGAGCUUUUUAGUUUGGAGAAGAGGUGAGUAAGCAGAGACUUGAUAGAGUUGUGUGAGGUUAUGAAUGGUGUGGUAAAGCGGAUAGAGAAAAAGUUUCUCUCUCCCUCUCCCUCAUAAUACUAAAAAUACUAGAAUGCUAGAUAUUCAAGAAAGCUGAAUUUUGGAAGAUUCGGGACGAAAGAAAGAAAGAAAGAAAGAAAGAAAGAAAGAAAGAAAGAAAGAAAGAAUUGUGGAUGGGGAGAAUGUUGCUGCACUCAUGCCCUGCUUGUAGGCUUCCUCUAGCCUAGACCAUUUUUAAAACAGAGUGGUAGUUUAGAUGGGCCUUUGGCCUGAUCCAGUACAGUGGUACAUCAGGUUACAGAUGCUUCAGGUUACAGACUCCGCUAACCCAGAAAUAGUACCUCAGGUUAAGAACAGAAUCGCACAACGGCAGCGGGAGGUCCCAUUAGCUAUAGUGGUACCUCAGGUUAAGAACAGUUUCAGGUUAAGAAUGGACCUCCAGAACGAAUUACCGGUAAGUUCUUAACCUGAGGUACCACUGUACACUCUUCUUAUGUUCUUCAAUAAGACUUAAGCCUAGUUUUAACAACAUACAUGUAAUUGAUAUAUUUGUAAAAUAUAUUACUGGAUAAAUGUAUUUUGUUCUUUGGGAAGAACUCAUUAUGAUGAGUUAUAAACGCACUUGCAUUUCAUAUUUGAGAUGCUUCUCAGUUAAGGUAUUUGCAAAUGAACUCAAGCAUUCAGAUUUUGCCCACUCUAUAUAUUCCUGUAGAAUAAUGUUGCUAUAGUGAUUAAUCUUCCCAGCAUAAAUGAAUAAGACAUCUUCUCAACUGCACUGACACUGUAUAGUUGCUUGCCUCUCACUACCUUGAAUGCCCAUUGUAGAAAUUCUUCUGCUUUCGCUUAAAAAGCCUUUUACUUCAUGACUUCAAGGAUUUUCAUACUGAAAGUCAUCUGAACUCAGUAACACCAGGCACUGAAAGCAAAGACUUUACAUUAUGUGUUGUAGAUCGCCACCUGCUGGCAUGAUGUCUACAUUGCUACUAAUAUUGAGUUUUGCUUGGCAAUAAUCUUUUUUAUUUUUUUAUUUUUUUGGCAGGGGGAUAUACAGUCAGCUUCUCAUCUAUGCUCAGUUUUGUGAAGUGGAAUUGUAUUUGAAAGUUUCUGAUACAUCUGCAGUGGCUUUUAGUUGGGGAGACAAGGGGA